rnacentral:rRNA from 1 species
GACGAACGCUGGCGGCGUGCCUAAUACAUGCAAGUAGAACGCUGAAGGAGGAGCUUGCUCUUCUGGAUGAGUUGCGAACGGGUGAGUAACGCGUAGGUAACCUGCCUGGUAGCGGGGGAUAACUAUUGGAAACGAUAGCUAAUACCGCAUAACAGUAGAUGUUGCAUGACAUUUACUUAAAAGGUGCAAUUGCAUCACUACCAGAUGGACCUGCGUUGUAUUAGCUAGUUGGUGGGGUAACGGCUCACCAAGGCGACGAUACAUAGCCGACCUGAGAGGGGGAUCGGCCACACUGGGAAUGGGACACGGCCCAGACUCCUACGGGAGGCAGCAGUAGGGAAUCUUCGGCAAUGGACGGAAGUCUGAACGAGCAACGCCGCGUGAGUGAAGAAGGUUUUCGGAUCGUAAAGCUCUGUUGUAAGAGAAGAACGAGUGUGAGAGUGGAAAGUUCACACUGUGACGGUAUCUUACCAGAAAGGGACGGCUAACUACGUG